UAAGGCAGUCUCCAGGGUAAGAAACGGCUCAGGACUGUACUAUCCGCCCUUUCCAUUUCUUCCACCAAAAAUACGUGCGUUGGCGCCCAGCUUCACUCUGUGUCUCCCUGGUUGCACGUAGCCACCUGACCAAGGCAGGAACUGCAACCACAACUCAGCAAAGAACUUUCUUGACAUUACCGUUACUAUCGCAUAGAAUGAGAAUGCUUUUGCCUCAAUUCUCCACUUUCGUUGCCUAGCAGAUUUUGACAGCUGUGACCAGAAAGCCAACAUUAUACAGCUAACGUGAGCGUGUUAAGAAAAGUGAAGGCCAGCCCAGCAAAUCAACUUCUUGGAAGGCUAGUGUGGUGAAGUUUAUCAGUAUGAUGUCUGCGCACCUUGGCAAGCUAAGAGGCCACCAAAUCCAGACAAUGCAAUGUGCGUGUUGACUGCCCCUCUUAACCACGCAGAACCUCAAGUCCACCCUCAAUCAUGCACUUAUUCAUCUGAACAUAUUUGCUGAGUCUAGAAUGAGUAAAGCAUUGUAUCAGGCAAUGUGAAGGAUAAAAAAGUAAAACACAAGGCAUGCUCUCCAGUACUUCAUUCAUUUAUGAAACAACUAUGCCUGGAGAUAACUGUUGAAAAGAAAUAGGGCUUUGCGGAGUUCCCAUCGUGGCUCAGCAGGUUAAGAACUGGACAUAGUAUC